UACGGAGGGUGCGAGCGUUGUCCGGAAUCACUGGGCGUAAAGGGCGCGUAGGUGGCGUCGCAAGUCAACGGUGAAAGCUCGACGCUCAACGUCGAGUCGGCCGUCGAGACUGCGAGGCUUGAGCACUGUAGAGGCAGAUGGAAUUCCGGGUGUAGCGGUGGAAUGCGCAGAUAUCAGGAGGAACACCGGUGGCGAAGGCGGGUCUCUGGGCCAUUACUGACGCUGAGGAGCGAAAGCGUGGGGAGCGAACAGG
rnacentral:rRNA from 1 species